AUUCGCUCACGCCCACAAAACAAAAAGGGCACCUACAUAAACUUCAGCAUAUAUAUAAAGGUUCGACCCGCCAGCCCAUAUGCAGGCCCAUUAUUCCAUGGGCUAGGAACCUCAUGACAAAUACAACCUUUUUACCAGGUCCAUUCCAUCUGCCUUAUCCUCUCCUUCAGACCAACCGAAACCGAAUCAUCUCUGCUUCGGACUUUCGUCCGCCUUUCUGUCUUCCUUGACGGCAAUUUCUAUCGCUUGUUGCCCCGUCCGUUCUGCCUGUAGAGACUUCACGUAUGAUCCAAACUGGCCUGAGAUAGUUCAGGGUCUUGAGCAUGGACAACAGGCGGUCGAUGAGGCUGAUUUUACUGCUCAAGUGUAUCAACUGAAACUCCUUGAGUACGUGGAAAAAAUUAAGGCCGGACAGGUGUUUGGGCUUGUAGUUACUGUCCUCCACUCCGUGGACUUCCACAAGAGGAGUCUGCCCCAUGCACAUAUCCUUGUUUGGCGGGAAAAAGAUUAUGGGCAGGGAUCUGCGUCCACUAAUGUUGAUGAUGAUGCUCUUGCGAUUGCACAUGCUAACGCCAUGGAGGCUGCACUUCGCUGAUUUGGAUCUAACAACUAAAGCCAUGUCCACAAAGACAAGUGAAAACUGCUUUGCCAUUGCUGUUUUCACACGAUUGGUCAAGUGCCCAGAAUAGCCUGUUACUAUGUUUGUCGCAUGUUUGUAAACCAAGUGUUUGGAAACCCCCAAUCAUACAUUCCCUUAUUUAUAAUCUGAAAUAGGCUAUUUUCAUGCUCUAUGGAUAUCGUUAUUAACCCUUUGUUGGUGUGCCCUCUGUACCUCAUGACUAUUUCAAUUUACUAAGAUACCUACUCUAAAGAAGAAAAUCCCGUUUAGGAUAAACCCACACCAGCUUUUCUUCAUGUUUAGAAUAAACCUACACCCAGCUUUUCCUUGGCCGUUGCAUCUCUAGGCCUAGGUAUGUGCAAUUAUGAUGGUAGUCUUGUCCCUACCACACUCAUAAACCCUACAUGCUCAACCUAACUAUAUAUCUUACCAGGCUUAAGUAGAAGAAAACAGUAGAAGAAAAUAGAAAACAAGGAAAAAACAAAUAAUAAAUGAAGAAAGGGACAAAGGAAAAAGAUUCAGUGGACCCGUUCGCUGCCGCUUUAUAUUCGGCUCCUCACAGGUCACAAGUGUCGCUGCUCGUGGGUUGUCCAAAUGAUACACGGGCCAUCAAAAAACUGUGCGGCCCAGCCGCAGCCUACCUAUGGCCCGAUGACGAUCUAACCUGCGGCAGCACCGACGCCAAGCUCAACAUGGAAGCCACGAAGGCUGCUGCCGAUUGACUCUUCCACACGAUCCACGAUUUCUCUGCCGACCUGACCAGCGCCCCUUCUCCCACCGGUCAGCAUCGUCUCUCUCGGCAGGUCCCAGCAAUGGCUUCUGUUCCAGUCUCGUCUAAGAUUCUGCUUGAUGCUAUGUUAGAGAAGGUUGGCCUUCCAGCGGCCACCUACUCAGCGCGCCCAAUAGAGGGCACGCGUCUGGAGGUUACCAUUACCUUUUACCCAAUCAAGAUCAAGCUCGGGAGGUCACCUGUCAAAGUUUCCCUGUCUACCUCACAGCACCAGGAUCUAGCAGAAGCUCGGGAUUAUGUGGCUGCUGCAGCAAUUAAGUACAUGGAUGCUUACGAGGGUGUGGUUCCAAAAGAUUACCAUUAUGAUCAACUAAGGACUGUGGAAAAGGCGAAUGUACUAUUGGGUCGGCCGCUUAAGGCAAUGAAAGAGGGACAAUGCAUCUCUAAAACAAGAGCUGAAAGAGAGCCUUGGCAAAAACAAGCUCCUGAGCAAAGGAUGGGAUGGAUCCUUGAGCACGGAACAGACCAUCGUCAGCAACCUUAACCAUCUGGUCAACAGCAGUCUAAGCCCAGGUUCUACUCCAGAUGACCUGGAGCUCAAUAAUGUUCUUCUCAAUGUAGAGGCCAACUGCGAAUACCUUCAGCAGUACAUUGAUGAGGCCAUGGUCAACCUUCAAGAAACUGGUGUCUAUCCUUAUGGCCAGGAGCAGUCAACAGACGAUGAUGAGGACCUGCCAACCUCACUUGAUGAUGAGCAGAUCUUCGACAACGAAGGACUGCUCUACUGAUUUCUGUGUUGUACCUGAAGAUCACUUCUAACAGCCUUGCAAGAAUCUUUAGAUCACUGCUAUCAUCAUUAGAGCCCGCUGUUGCUCCCUACUAAUAUAGUUAUCUAUAGCCAUAUGUAAUAUAUAUCCUAUCGCACCAUGGCACAGUCGGUUCUUCCAAAUCUAUCUGCUGAGCCUUAAUGAUCUAUAUGUGUAUGUGAACCUAAUGAUGUAAUAUGUCCUAUCGAACCAUGCCACUCUCCAUUAUGCUAAAUCUACUGCUGGAUGUUCAUGCUUUAUUUAUUUGUUUCGCUACGCUCUACUGUGUUUAAAUCAUAUGUCUAAUAGCAUUCUUGUGCUUCCAAGUUUAUCUCAGCGUUAUGCCAUGUUUUUUUACAUUUAGUUACGUAGGUAUGUGUGCUAACUAAAUAAUUAUGCCACGUUAUGCCUUUCGAAUCCAACGAGCAAGCGGCGGCGUCAAACAAAGUCCGUGCAUGCCUCUUCUACCAACUCUUUCCUUUCAGCAGUCUCAUCUGCGGUUUAUAAUAACACACGCUGUCACCUAAUUACAUCAUCCUACAAGGGAAAAAUAACACAGAUCGGCGAAAAUCACACCAAAGCCUACCACCUCUGUCAAAAGAAAUGUUAUAAAUUGUCAGCAAUUAUACAUCCUAAAUGCACCUGUACCUUAUAAACUAUGUGAUUUAGGCUAAAGAUAAAGUAAUUAUAAUAUUUUGCCACUAUGAUAAAUACAUAAAGAACAUAUCCUUAGCUAUUAUUAUAGAUCAUCAUUCUUUCACACAGAGUUUCCAUUAUAGAUGUUUACUGUUGUGCACUUUAUUAUUAGAUGCUCAUACCGUCUCACCUUAUGCCAAUUGGCUAAAAUUACCUGCUCCUGCUUAUAGCCUGAUGGGCCAAUGUAUGUGAACAACUGCCUUCUAACCUCGCUAACCACUUAUCGCUGCAGAGUCAAAUCCUUCUCGCCAUGGAUGACAACUUAUUCGUGCCUCUGCUCCCGAAGCUUGCAGCAACACUGGUCACCGCCAGCAGGCAGCACGUGCUGCAGUUAUCCAUAAAUGCCCUUAGAGUUACAGCAAGCCAAUCAGUACACUAUGACGAAGAUGAUGACAGUUUCUUUGCCACUGUUGAAAUACAUGUUCCAGCACAUGAAAACAUUCCUCAGUUUAAAACAACCAUAUUUGCUGGACACAACUGCCAAACAACAAACGCGGCUCAUGAAUCAGCGAGUACUACUGCUCUGCAUUACAUGCAGCAAGGAGGCAUUCUAAUUAUCGAUGACCUGAAUUUCCCUGAGCUUCAAAAGUGCAAAAAAGAGGUGGUCAGAGCCAAGUCAUGGUCAGACAUAUUUGAGCAUGAAACAGUCAAGCUAAAGAGAAAAAUAGGUUCCUUAGAGAGGGAAUUAGCAUCUCUUAAAGAGAACAGUGUUGUUCGUAAGCCAAUCCAGCAACCCUAGGCAACAGAAGAGCUAGACCAAUAGGUAUAGGCUGAACCUUCUACAUCAUGCAAUUUAGUUAUUCUUUACUUAGUUCUUCCUAAUUAGUGAAUAACCUCUAAAAAAUAUAAAUGGUACAGAUAUGUACCUCAUACGAUUUAGCUUAAAUUUUUUGUUAUGCUGCUGAGAAAAUUGAACAAUUUUUCCUUUGUGUAUUGAAAACACGCGCCACCAUUUUCAUCUAAGAACUUCUAUGCACAAACUGAUUUCAUUCAACGGCUUGAAUCUCAGCUUUACUAAGCAUUUUAUGUUUUCCACUGUCUUCCUACCUGAUGUUUCUUUGCCUCUGUGUUUAAAGCCCUCAGCUGCAUUGCAAAUGUCAACACCGCCUACUGAACAAUAGUUUAUACAGCCUAUUCCAGUUGCAGACACGGUCAGUUAUAUCCUGUGUUUUAGCGUGAUAUAUGUCUUUCAACUGCACUUCGUAUCCCACUACAACCACAUGUAAUUCCACUUCUGGUACAAACAGAGGAUGCACAAUACCAAUGAACCAAUGGAUGUAUUUUCUAACUUCUCACUUCAGCCUUUUUAACUCUAUAUUUAAAAACCUCAAAUGAAUUAUAGGUGUCAAUCCCACCACAUGAACAUCAUUGCACUGAACUUUUCACUGUUGCCAAUAAGGUCAGUUAUUUCCCCUUUUCAGCUAAUCUAUAUGCAUGCUGCAAGUGCGCUUUCAAUACCUGUGUAAUAACAUGUCCUGACCAUGUGCAGCCCAAAGAGAACAACAAAGGCGAUGGCCCCUUCCUGUCAGCUACAACAUCAACUCAUAAAUUACCUUCUUCUAGUGCCAGAACCCUAACAAGAAAGCAUGGCGUUGGUGCAAGAAGGGCUUUGUUUGCCAGCAAGCGAAAAGACACCAAUGCUUAGAUGCCAAGGGAUCAAUUAGCAACAGCACAAGUUCUAUUAGUUCGUGUAGUAUAUGCUGGAGCUCUUGGUUGUACGCUUUUGAGUAGCCUAUAUGAGCUAACAAACAGAACACCUCUUCUAUAUCAAUGUAUUAUACUUUCAUGAUUUCAUCUACUAAAAAUGCUUCUACAAUCUAUUUAUCAUUUGUAUGCUUUUAUAAACCAUAGUAACAGAUUGCUAUUAACAAGGUGGAUUAAAGUUCCAGAGCCAGGUACCCA
rnacentral:rRNA from 1 species